rnacentral:rRNA from 1 species
CCCUUGUAGUACUGGGACUCUAACCAUAGGCCAUGAAUCUGGUCUUGGGACACUGUCAGGUGGGCAGUUUGACUGGGGCGGUCGCCUCCCAAAAGGUAACGGGGGCGCUCAAAGGUUCUCUCAGUACGGUCGGAAAUCGUACGUAGAGUGUAAAGGCAAAAGAGAGCUUGAUUGCAAGACAUACAGGUCGAGCAAGGAUGAAAAU